CCUGGGAUAGCUCAGUAGGGACAGCGUGAGACUCUUAAAUUUCAGGGUCAUGGGUUUGAGCCCUGUGGUUGAAGA